UUCACCAGUUCAGCGCUGGUUAGUUGCGCGAAUAAGUGAAUUGCCAGUUUUAGUUGGUGUUUGAUAUUCAUUCUGUGCGGUUAAAUUGUUAUUGUCCAGAGAUAAGACCCAACUCAUCGCUAACAGAAAUUACAUUAAAUUAUUGAAGUAAAAAGAGAACAGCACAACCACACUCACACGCGCAUAAAGACUAAUUACCAAACACACCUUUUUGCCCAUAAGGAAAAUAAAAGGAAAACGAAGACGAUAGGCAAAGUGGAAUUGUAGAAAAACAAUGAGGAUUAUGAACGCACAAUUUGCAGUUCAAACGGCUUUCUCGCCGUACAAUCAUCGCCAAUAGACUCCAGUUAGAGGUUGAGUCAACAAAUACGCCAAACGAAUUGCAGCAGAGGCAAGAAUAAUAAACCGAGUAAUAAGAACUAAUUGCUAUCGACUAAAGUCCCUAGCACAAGCGACACGCAAACAGCUUACAACAGCAGCAACUACAACCAGACACUUGAUUUCAAAAAUAUGUUUACCAAUUUACCAGCAGAAAUGCCAGAACAGAAUCGCACUUUGGAGGAACAAUGCGAGCAGCUGGUAGAGGCGUAUAAGAAACAGCAACGGCUCAGUAGUAAUAGCAACUAU